rnacentral:rRNA from 1 species
GAUGAACGCUGGCGGCGUGCCUAAUACAUGCAAGUCGAGCGAACAGACGAGGAGCUUGCUCCUUUGACGUUAGCGGCGGACGGGUGAGUAACACGUAGGUAACCUACCUAUAAGACUGGGAUAACUUCGGGAAACCGGAGCUAAUACCGGAUAAUAUUUCGAACCGCAUGGUUCUAUAGUGAAAGAUGGCUUUGCUAUCACUUAUAGAUUGACCUUCGCCGAAUUAGCUAGUUGGUAAGGUAACGGCUUACCAAGGCAACGAUACGUAGCCGACCUGAGAGGGUGAUCGGCCACACUGGAACUGAGACACGGUCCAGACUCCUACGGGAGGCAGCAGUAGGGAAUCUUCCGCAAUGGGCGAAAGCCUGACGGAGCAACGCCGCGUGAGUGAUGAAGGUCUUCGGAUCGUAAAACUCUGUUAUUAGGGAAGAACAAACGUGUAAGUAACUGUGCACGUCUUGACGGUACCUAAUCAGAAAGCCACGGCUAACUACGUG